AACGAACGUUGGCGGCGUGGAUUAGGCAUGCAAGUCGAACGAGAACCGCUGGGCAACUGGCGGGGAAAGUGGCGAAAGGGGCAGUAAGGCGUGGGUAACGUACCCCCGGGACUGGGAUAGCUACGGGAAACCGUAGGUAAUACCGGGCGACGUAACGACGGGGCAUCUCGUUGUUACCAAAGGGUCCGCCGCCUGGGGAGCGGCUCACGUGGUAUUAGCUAGUUGGUGGGGUAAUGGCCUACCAAGGCGAAGAUGCCUAGCUGGUGUGAGAGCAUGACCAGCGCCACUGGCACUGAGACACUGGCCAGACACCUACGGGUGGCUGCAGUCGAGGAUCUUCCGCAAUGGGCGCAAGCCUGACGGAGCGACGCCGCGUGCGCGAUGAAGGCCUUCGGGUUGUAAAGCGCUGUCGAGGGGGAGAAAAGCCCGCAAGGGUCUGAUCUAUCCCUGGAGGAAGCACGGGCUAAGUUCGUGCCAGCAGCCGCCGUAAAAC
rnacentral:rRNA from 1 species